UACGUAGGGUGCGAGCGUUAAUCGGAAUUACUGGGCGUAAAGCGUGCGCAGGCGGUUAUGUAAGACAGUUGUGAAAUCCCCGGGCUCAACCUGGGAAUUGCAUCUGUGACUGCAUAGCUAGAGUACGGUAGAGGGGGAUGGAAUUCCGCGUGUAGCAGUGAAAUGCGUAGAUAUCUGGAGGAACACCGGUGGCGAAGGCGGCAUCCUGGACCGACACUGACGCUGAGGAGCGAAAGCCAGGGGAGCAAAGCGGG
rnacentral:rRNA from 1 species